rnacentral:rRNA from 1 species
UGACCCUACGGGAGCAGCAGUGAGGAAUAUUGGUCAAUGGGCGAGAGCCUGAACCAGCCAUGCCGCGUGCAGGAAGACGGCUCUAUGAGUUGUAAACUGCUUUUGUACGAGGGUAAACGCAGAUACGUGUAUCUGUCUGAAAGUAUCGUACGAAUAAGGAUCGGCUAACUCCGUGCCAGCAGCCGCGGUAAUACGGAGGAUUCAAGCGUUAUCCGGAUUUAUUGGGUUUAAAGGGUGCGUAGGCGGUCGGAUAAGUUAGAGGUGAAAUCCCGAGGCUCAACUUCGGAAUUGCCUCUGAUACUGUU